CCUGGUACACAUGAGGACUUUGUUCAACAAUGGAGAAUUAUCUAUCCUCACCGUAGUGUUUCAUUCCACUCUGAUUCUUCUUGGACUUGCAAAUUUCAUUGGACAAUUUCUUAUCCUAGGGAAAACGUAAAUCCAAAAUUAAGAGACUCAUUUUUUUUUAAGGAAAUUAUAUCAAUUUCAGUAUUGUUGUAAAGGGUUUAUGUAUGUUCUUAAAAGUGUUUUUGUUUUCAGAAUUUUUCAUCCGAAUCCUAUUGUAUGAAAAUUUUUGAGUGAAUGUAGAAUAUAUAUUUUAAUUAUGUAUGGAAAAAGUAUGGUUUAUUAUUGUGUUAUUUAAAAUUUGUUCAUUUUCAUGGUUCUUUCUUAGACAAGUGUCUUAGUUACAACUAGUUAGAUCAUAUUUCUCAUUUUCACUUUUGUAAAAUAUUGAUCAUUGUCAUGCAAUAGGUGAAAAUUAAUUAAUUAUGUAAUGAUGAUUUGCAUAUGAGCCACCCCCCCCCUCCCCCCCCCCACACACACACACUUAUGCCUUUCAUUCUUUUAAUAUCCAUACUCUCCAUGAUGGAGUUAUAAAACCAGGGAUUAUCAUUUAUUAAAGAGCUUUCAUUUCAGUCUAGGUAUUUUCACAUGUUAGAAAUACCUCAUUUUGUUUUUGUGUAACAUUAAACUUUAUUUUCCUCAUUUGCUUGUUAAAGCACAGUUGUAUUAAUGAGGUUGAUUCGUUAAUUAAUAUCAAACACCACACAUACAUUGAUCUCUUUCGAUGGAUUCCGAACUACAUUUUGUGUUGCAUGUAUUGUUACCUCUAUAUACCAGGUUGAGUUACUCGAUCUCUGUGAUAUUUUUGCCAAUAUGAACAAAAGCUUGCAAGAGAUUAUAUUGAAAAUUAAAUGUUCUAUAUUUAUCUUAGCAUUAAUACAUGUAAAUGCAUGUCUGAAUAUAUUUUGUGAUAUUGAUGUGUGAUCGGCCAAUGUGAGAUAUUACUUAUAUUAUUGAGUUUGUGGCAAUUAAAGAACAAUUCUUAUCAAUAAAGAUAAGAAAUAUU
rnacentral:misc_RNA from 1 species